UGAGAGGAUUGAUGAUGUCAGUUGGACCGGCUUAUUUUUAAUCCACCUUGAUCUAACUUGGUGAAGUCAGUGGAAGGAUUGAGAUUAGCUGAUCUAUGUAUUUAAUUCUAUUAAAUUGUGUUAACUAAAUUCUCUAAAUUAUUAGCUAGUCCAUGUAUUUAAUCUAAUUGGUUAAACCCUAAAGUCCCAAAUGAAGGGAACUCUCUCCCUUGCGCCCCCC
rnacentral:lncRNA from 1 species